UACGUAGGUGGCAAGCGUUGUCCGGAUUUACUGGGCGUAAAGCGCGCGCAGGCGGCGCGCCAAGUCUGGGGUGAAAUCUCCCGGCUCAACCGGGAGGGGUCUCUGGAUACUGGCGUGCUCGAGGGGAGUAGAGGAGAGCGGAAUUCCCGGUGUAGCGGUGAUAUGCGUAGAUAUCGGGAGGAACACCAGUGGCGAAGGCGGCUCUCUAGACUCUCCCUGACGCUGAGGCGCGAAAGCGUGGGGAGCAAACCGG
rnacentral:rRNA from 1 species